GGAGAAAGCGCUCUUGAGAAUUGGUAGCAAGAAAGCCGCAUCUCUGGUCCGGUGACCUUGUUGUUAGCCUGAGAAGAGCUGAGAUAAGGGAGCAUACCCCAAAUUAUAUUAGCACGUAGCCAAACUAAAAAGGUCUCUGGAGAUUGAACUUAAGAGUUUUUGCCUUAAUCUCUAAAUCACAUGGAAGACUUGCAAAAGUCUGCUGUGGAUCACCUGAGAGUUUGUUCCUAUAGAUAAACGUGCUGAUGGUGAUUUUCUGUGGCAAUUCUGCCGUGGCCUGGCAGGCCUUGACGAGUUGAGAAGGAUUUGGCAAGUGUAACUGGAAUCUUCAGUGCCCCCAGUUCUCCCUUUACACUGAGAAAAAUGUCACAUUAAAGCACUAAAAGCUUUUUUCAGUAAUGCAAUAAGAAGGGUGGCCUUUAAAAACGUGAAUGGAAAACCUGAAAGGUGCUGGAAGGGACAGAAGUUUGUCCUAGAGAGAUCUCUCGCAUCUUUGAGUGCAUUAACUAUCUCCAGUCUUAAUUCGCACUGAGUGAUGACUGCAGAACUUGAAGUUGAAACCAGGCAGGAGUCUCCAAACCCCCCCAUGAGCUGUUCUUCAUCAUUACUCAACAUUAAAGUUGACGCACUCAGGCUGGAGUCUGGAUUUUCAGGACUUGAAGCACACGAACAGGCUACCAUGGUCUGCUGAAGUCUGAAACCGCUGCUGAAGCUUCAGUGGCCUGUGGUUCUGGUACUACGUGCUCUUAAAGAGUGUUGUCUUCCUCCUCUCUCGUUCAGGUAUUCCUUUAAGCUCAUAAGCUCUUGCCUGUGUCCGAGAAUCCCGUUUCCCUCACCGGUGUGAGUAACGCUGCCGCCUGCACAAAGUUCUCUGCUGUUUGCUCAAACAAAGACACAGUAUCCCUAUUUAUUUUUUUUUGCCUUGUAGUUCAUUUUACACUUGGACAAUAUACCGUAGAACUUCGUGUUUAAAAACACAGUUCUGUCGGCAGCCUUGA
rnacentral:lncRNA from 1 species